AGAACGAACGCUGGCGGCAGGCUUAACACAUGCAAGUCGAGCGCACCGCAAGGUGAGCGGCAGACGGGUGAGUAACGCGUGGGAAUCUACCCAACCCUACGGAAUAACACAGGGAAACUUGUGCUAAAUACCGUAUACGCCCUACGGGGGAAAGAUUUAUCGGGGUUGGAUGAGCCCGCGUUGGAUUAGCUAGUUGGUGGGGUAAUGGCCUACCAAGGCGACGAUCCAUAGCUGGUCUGAGAGGAUGAUCAGCCACACUGGGACUGAGACACGGCCCAGACUCCUACGGGAGGCAGCAGUGGGGAAUAUUGGACAAUGGGCGAAAGCCUGAUCCAGCCAUGCCGCGUGAGUGAUGAAGGCCUUAGGGUUGUAAAGCUCUUUCAGUGGGGAAGAUAAUGACGGUACCCACAGAAGAAGCCCCGGCUAACUUCGUGCCAGCAGCCGC
rnacentral:rRNA from 1 species